GGACCUGUAGUUUAGUGGUUAUAACGCUGCCCUUACAAGGCGGAGGUCGCCGGUUCGAAUCCGGUCGGGUCCA
rnacentral:tRNA from 1 species